CAGAUAUCUUUUCUUAAUUUCUUCUCCCUCCUUGUUAGCCAUUCUAUUAGUCCCAUAAGAGAAUGACUUUCUUCACUUCUACAGGCUGCUCCUUGGUAACAGAGCCUCACUCUUCCAGAGGAAGCUUCACAACCUUGAUCUUGUCCAUGAAGUCGGAGUUGGCAAAUCCGUGCUGAGCAGUGAGGAAAUCAAAUAGAUAUUUUUGUGCACAAAAUGUAAAGAUGCCCCAUUCUUCUGCUGCUUAAGACUCCUACCCAUGUUUCCUGGCUCAUGAGCCCAGUCAUGGAAUGGACUGUCUGCUGUUUCCAACCUGAAGAUAAACUAAAAGUUCCCAGGCAAGCAGAAACUAGCAGCUAAGCGGAUGGAUAAAAGUCCCUCAUGGUGGAGAGAAAUGCCAGCCAG
rnacentral:lncRNA from 1 species